rnacentral:lncRNA from 1 species
CAGGGAGGUGGGGUCCAAGAAGUCCCUGUAACUCUCACACUCUUGUUAUUUAUUCCCUAUUAGACUCUGCCAGUCUUACCCUGGCUAGUUGCCUUCAUGACAGAGAUCAACGAGGGGAGAUGUUCCUGGCUUGGUAAAUUCUCUGAGGAUGUUCACAAUGAUCUAAGAAAUGAAGCUGCCUUUUACCAGAACAAAGUCCUCAAAACAUUAGAAAGGACAGAGGAAGGAGUUUGCACAUUUCCAACUGCUCAUUUCACCAUCAGCCUUGUAGACCUUUGAUGCAAUCAGACAUGAGCACUGCACUCAGGCCCUUAUCCUGCCAAG